GGCGUACUUAACACAUGCAAGUCGAACGAGGAGCUUCGGUGUAGCAAUACAUCGGAGCUUCGAGUGGCGCACGGGAGAGUAACACGUGGGCAAUCUGCCCUUCGUUGGGGGACAACCGGGGGAAACCCCGGCUAAUACCCCGUAAGCUUGUCGGGUCGCAUGGCCUGACAAGGAGAGGUAGCUUCGGCCAUCCGGCGAAGGAGGAGCCCGCGGUACAUUAGCUAGUUGGUGAGGUAAAGGCCCACCAAGGCGACGAUGUAUAGCUGGUCUGAGAGGAUGAUCAGCCACACUGGGACUGAGACACGGCCCAGACUCCUACGGGAGGCAGCAGUCGGGAAUCUUGCACAAUGGGCGAAAGCCUGAUGCAGCAACGCCGUGUGAGCGACGAAGGCCCUAGGGUCGUAAAGCUCUGUUGUUAGGGACGAAGGGCGAAGGGUUAAUAGCCCUUAGCCUGACGGUACCUUUCGAGGAAGCCCCGGCUAACUACGUGCCAGCAGCCGCGGUAAAAC
rnacentral:rRNA from 1 species